CCAGGGAUCAAACCCACAUGUCCUGCAUUGGCAGGCAGAUUCUUGACCACUGAGCUACCAGGGAAACCCAAAUGAAACUAGACUAAGCCCCAAAGAAGAGAUUAGACCUCAUCACCCGAAUUACGUCUUAUUUUUUCACCCGUGGACACCAGUCAGCUUUGCCAGUAACGGAACUAUCCAUAAAUUGAAUUGGCAGCUGGAAAUGAGUUAAUGCUGGAAGAUUGACCCCCCAAAAAGGAGAUUGAACAGCCUGUUUUAUCAACCUACAGCUUCACCAUUUAUGAUUGCAGGAGAUUAAGAAACUACUUCAGUAAAUAAAUGGAGUCCAUUCAAAGAAUGAGAAUGUGAAGCAGAAUUACCCGAGUAGAAGAAAUAAGGCACCAUUUUAUAAUUUAGAAAAUGGGAGCAAAAAUGCAAAAAUGAAUCCCACUAUUAUAGAAUAAAAUAGAGAGAGAGAGACUAACAAACACCAUGGCAACAGAUAUGUGAAUGGAGAGGAUAUCUAAGAAGGUCAUCAUUCAGACACUACUACCCCAGCUGAUACCAAAAGGAUCACAGAUAAACUAUUCAGUUACCUACCAGAAUUAAAGUGGCAGGUGUGAGUGAGUCCCAAGAAGAGUCAAUUAAAGUAUAUUUCUACGACAGUCAGCCUCAGUGAAGAAGAUUGACAUAUUCAAAGCAAGUUUUCAUGGCAUAUUACUGUUAUUGGUAUGUGCAGAUGCCUUUCUUAUUUUAU